rnacentral:rRNA from 1 species
CAGUAGCCGCGGUAAUACGGAGGGUGCCAGCGUUAAUCGGAAUUACUGGGCGUAAAGCGCACGCAGGCGGUCUGACAAGUCAGAUGUGAAAUCCCCGGGCUUAACCUGGGAACUGCAUUUGAAACUGUCAGGCUGGAGUCUUGUAGAGGGGGGUGGAAUUCCAGGUGUAGCGGUGAAAUGCGUAGAGAUCUGGAGGAAUACCGGUGGCGAAGGCGGCCCCCUGGACAAAGACUGACGCUCAGGUGCGAAAGCGUGGGGAGCAAACAGGAUUAGAUACCCCUGUAGUCCCUGUCUCUUAUAC